CAAAACGAAUAACAAUGGGGUCGAGGUGAACAAAAACGAGGAACAAAAUGGUUCUGGCGAGGUCAAGAACCAAGCCAAGAAGAAGCCGAACGCACCUGGGAGCGGUCCUCUGUUGCAACAAGCAGAGAUAUCCACCAGCCAACUCGACUUCUUCAAGAUGCUUGACGAGAAAAUCGAGAAUGUAAGUUGCUCCUUCGAGAGUUCUAACAUUGCGCAACGCUCGAAUAUACUUUUCGUCGGCUGGUUUUUAUGUAACGU